rnacentral:rRNA from 1 species
GACGAACCGUGCGAACGUUGUUCGGAAUCACUGGGCUUAAAGGGCGCGUAGGCGGGCCGGACGGUCCGGGGUGAAAUCCCCCCGCUCAACGGGGGAACGGCCCCGGACACCGCCGGCCUCGAGGGGGGUAGGGGCGAGCGGAACGCUGGGUGGAGCGGUGAAAUGCGUUGAUAUCCAGCGGAACUCCGGUGGCGAAGGCGGCUCGCUGGGCCAUCUCUGACGCUGAGGCGCGAAAGCUAGGGGAGCAAACAGG